rnacentral:misc_RNA from 1 species
UCUCCGUAGGUGAACCUGCGGAGGGAUCAUUACUGAGUGAGGGCCCUCGUGGUCCGACCUCCAACCCAUUGUUGUCCGACUCUGUUGCCUCGGGGGCGACCCGGCGCUUCGGCGCCAGGGGGUCCCCGCUGGUCCACACAACUCUGCAUCUUUGCGUCUGAGUAAACAUUAAAUGAAACAAAACUUUCAACAACGGAUCUCUUGGUUCUGGCAUCGAUGAAGAACGCAGC